AACGUAGGAGACAAACGUUUAUCCGGAGUUACUGGGCGUAAAGGGCGUGUAGGUGGUAAUGUAAGUCUGGCGUGAAAUUUUUCGGCUUAACCGGGAAAGGUCGUCGGAGACUGCAUAACUAGAGGACGGUAGAGGCGUGUGGAAUUCCGGGUGUAGUGGUGAAAUGCGUAGAGAUCCGGAGGAACACCAGUGGCGAAGGCGACACGCUGGGCCGUACCUGACACUGAUGCGCGACAGCAUGGGGAGCAAACAGG
rnacentral:rRNA from 1 species